rnacentral:lncRNA from 1 species
UGCCCUUGCGGAUCAUUUCCUGAUGGCGUUACCAAAUAUCAACAAGCAUUUCUGGCACCGUUGCCGGGGAGAAAGACGGUUUGCUGAGAUAACUUUAAGUCUUGCUAUUAUCUUGUAUUAUACUUUUAUUCUUUUAUCUUUUUAUUUUUUUCAUCUUUAUGGGUUACUCAAAUUCCAUACCUAUUAUUGAAUUCUUUGCACCUUAGGAGACCAGCCAUAGACCAUGGGAGUCAACAAGUCCUGUCCCUAAUUAUGAUCUGUGUCCGGAGUUGAUUGCAAUAGGUGAAAAUCAACCCUUUUCUAUAGCCGAGGUCCUAUCUUUUAAUCAAGAAGAUAAUGAAGUUUUAGCUACACCUAGGGAAUCUUUUAAUCUUUCUAUAAAUUCUGGUUUAAACCUAGCCCUACAAGACCAUGUUUUUUCUCGAUAUUUUUACAUUGGUCUUAAUCAUAUAACCUUUGGAAGAGUCUUUCUUUCUUUAUCUAUUAGUAAAGGAAGGUAUGUCUUCAUUUGUGGACAUCCUUCUUGUACUAGUCUUCAUAAAAAUUUCCUAGAGAUAGAGAAGGAAUCAUCUCCCAGACAAGGAAAGGAAGUUUCAAUAGCCGAUUUCCAAACAUUUCAAUCCCAUGAUUUGGCUAUCCAACCCAUCCUUGAGCUUUAUAAUUUCUACUCUUCUCUUGAACCUCCCGAUGAUUCUAUGAAUCUCUCUAGACAUCCCAUGCAUAAGAGUCACCAAGACCACAAGGAGGAUCGAGAAGACCAACAUCAAUGGCUAGAGGGCAUUAAAAAUCCAUGUGCUAUCACCAUUGAAUGGAUAGAUAAAACAAACUUGAG